CAGAAACUGAAGGUACUGGGAGACUGAUUCAGUGAUUUGUCCAGAGCCACACAGUGGCAGGGCUGUGGUCAGAACAAAACACCCUGGAUCCAGAGGCUUGUCUGUCACAUACCAGGGAAUUUGUGCUGUUCUUUUAUGCUGGUUGAACUAAGAUCGUGAUUCAUGAAGUCAUGGGUUUAGAGGAUGAAUUAUCACAAGCUUGAAAGAAGAGAGGCUACAUAAACACACCAUCUGCAUAAAUGUCACUAAGUGGAAGCAAAAGUGUGGCCCCCACUUAUCUGAGGAGGUGCAUUCCAGGAUCUUCAGUUUGCUGCAUCUUGUUAUUUUGAACUUUCUAAGACUACGAAAGUCUUGAUUUUGAUAACAGACCUCCCACCUGUGAUCCAAGACUUCUGUC